CCGGCUACGGAUGGUCAUGCGUCGCAUUAGCUAGUUGGCGGGGUAACGGCCCACCAAGGCGACGAUGCGUAGGGGUUCUGAGAGGAAGGUCCCCCACACUGGUACUGAGACACGGACCAGACUCCUACGGGAGGCAGCAGUGAGGAAUAUUGGUCAAUGGCCGCAGGGCUGAACCAGCCAAGUCGCGUGAGGGAUGACGGUCCUAUGGAUUGUAAACCUCUUUUGUCAGGGAGCAAAGGGCGCCACGUGUGGCGCUUUGCGAGUACCUGAAGAAAAAGCAUCGGCUAACUCCGUGCCAGCAGCCGCGGUAAUACGGAGGAUGCGAGCGUUAUCCGGAUUUAUUGGGUUUAAAGGGUGCGCAGGCGGAAUGUCAAGUCAGCGGCAAAAUUUCGGGGCUCAACCCCGUCGUGCCGUUGAAACUGGCGUUCUUGAGUGAGCGAGAAGUAUGCGGAAUGCGUGGUGUAGCGGUGAAAUGCAUAGAUAUCACGCAGAACUCCGAUUGCGAAGGCAGCAUACCGGCGCUCAACUGACGCUCAUGCACGAAAGCGUGGGUAUCGAACAGGAUUAGAUACCCUGGUAGUCCACGCAGU
rnacentral:rRNA from 1 species